rnacentral:rRNA from 1 species
AUGGCGCUCUCCGACCUCUCCCGCGACUCGCUCCUCCCCAGCUUCCUCUACUCCUCGCGCUCCUUCGCCGCCGCCGCCCCGCGCUUCCCCUCCUCCCCGUCGCCCUACCAGGCGCCCGCCUCGCCCGCCGCGGCCCCGGCUGCUGGCCUCGUCGGCGCUGGCGGGGUCGGGGGCGGCAGGCCCUUCUCGAUCCGCGCGCCCAACGAGAAGAUCGUCAUGUACUCGCCGGCCUUCUACGCCGCCUGCACCGCCGGGGGGAUCGCCAGCUGCGGCCUCACCCACAUGGCCGUCACCCCGCUCGACCUCGUCAAGUGCAACAUGCAGAUUGACCCGGCCAAAUACAAGAGCAUCACAUCUGGAUUUGGUGUUCUGUUUAAGGAGCAAGGAGCUAGGGGAUUCUUCAGGGGAUGGGUGCCUACGUUGCUUGGUUACAGUGCUCAGGGGGCUUGCAAGUUUGGGUUCUACGAGUUCUUUAAGAAGACCUACUCAGAUAUGGCUGGGCCUGAGAAUGCCGUGAAGUACAAGACCCUGAUUUACCUUGCAGGUUCAGCUUCUGCUGAGGUAAUUGCUGAUAUUGCUCUGUGCCCCUUUGAAGCUGUCAAGGUCCGUGUGCAGACACAGCCUGGAUUUGCUCGUGGGUUGAGUGACGGGCUUCCCAAGUUCAUCAAAGCUGAGGGUGCUGCUGGGCUCUAUAAGGGCAUCGUUCCACUCUGGGGUCGCCAGAUUCCUUACACCAUGAUGAAGUUUGCCUCCUUUGAGACCAUUGUUGAGCUUAUCUACAAGCACGCUGUUCCUGUUCCCAAGGCCGAGUGCAGCAAGUCUUCCCAGUUGGGUAUCAGCUUUGCUGGUGGCUACAUUGCCGGUGUCUUCUGUGCUAUUGUUUCUCACCCUGCUGACAACCUGGUCUCUUUCCUCAACAAUGCCAAGGGUGCUACAGUGGGUGAUGCUGUUAACAAGAUUGGCAUGUUGGGCCUUUUCACAAGAGGGCUACCCCUUCGUAUAGUCAUGAUUGGUACUCUUACCGGUGCUCAGUGGGGAAUCUAUGACGCGUUCAAGGUCAUGGUUGGACUCCCGACCACCGGCGGUGCUCCACCAGUUGCUCCGGUAGAGGAAGCAGCGAAAGCCAGCGCUUGA